CCCUUAGAUGUCCGGGGCUGCACGCGCGCUACACUGAAGGAAUCAGCGUGCUAAAACCAUUGUCGAAAGGCAUUGGUAAACCCAUUAAAAUCCUACGUGAUUGGGAUCGGGAAUUGCAAUUAUUUCCCUUGAACGAGGGAUUCCCAGUAAGUGUGGGUCAUAAGCUCGCGUUGAUUACGUCCCUGCCCUUUGUACACACCGCCCGUCGCUGCCCGGGACUGAGCCGUUUCGAGAAAAGCGGGGACUGCUGCUGUCGGGGCUUUCGGGCCUUGGCUUCGGUGGAAACCGCUUUAAUCGCAGUGGCUUGAACCGGGCAAAAGUCGUAACA
rnacentral:rRNA from 1 species